GGGCAUAGUGCUUCAGUGGAAGGUGGCAUUUCUUGAAGGAAGCUCUCCAUCUUCGGUGCCAGCCCCUGCUGCAGGAAGGAAGGCGAUGGCAGACACGGGCACAGGCACAGCAGACUGAGAUGCUGGGACAGUUCCUCCAUUAGCCUGGCACUCUGAAGUUGUGAUGCCCUCCGAGCAUUCGGCAGAUGUGUCUGCAGGGAUGACUUCACCAACUCCUACCUUGGAUACUGCACAAAAGCCUAGCUCCCAUCACAGGGGUCCUCCGACAGGAGAGACCAAAGACAUGGCAGGCAAGAAAUUCCAGGACCCAUUAGAAAUCAUGUGGCAAAUGCUGAAGGAAUGUCUGCAGAGGAGGCAAGAAAUGAAAGGAGAGCCUGUGCAGAAGGAAGCAUUUCGUGGAGGAAGCAGUGGUUCCGUGCCAGCCUCUGCUGCAGGAAGGGAGGCCAUGCCAG